GGUGAACGCUGGCGGCGUGCUUAAGACAUGCAAGUCGAACGGCAGUCUUCGGACUGUAGUGGCGCACGGGUGAGUAACGCGUAACUGACCUACCCCAAAGUCGCGGAUAACGAUUCGAAAGAAUCGCUAAUACGUGAUGUGCUGUCAGAUUGUGUUCUGCCAGUAAAGGUUGAUUGCUUUGGGAUGGGGUUGCGUUCCAUCAGCUAGUUGGUGGGGUAAAGGCCCACCAAGGCGACGACGGAUAGCCGGCCUGAGAGGGUGGCCGGCCACAGGGGCACUGAGACACGGGUCCCACUCCUACGGGAGGCAGCAGUUAGGAAUCUUCCACAAUGGGCGAAAGCCUGAUGGAGCGACGCCGCGUGAGGGACGAAGGUCUUCGGAUCGUAAACCUCUGAAUCAGGGACGAAAGACACUUCGGUGGGAUGACGGUACCUGAGUAAUAGCACCGGCUAACUCCGUGCCAGCCGCCGCGGUAACAC
rnacentral:rRNA from 1 species